GGACCCGCACAAGUAGUGGAGCAUGUGGUUUAAUUCGAAGAUACGCGCAGAACCUUACCAACACUUGACAUGUUCGUCGCGACUUUAAGAGAUUAAAGUUUUCGGUUCGGCCGGACGAAACACAGGUGCUGCAUGGCUGUCGUCAGCUCGUGUCGUGAGAUGUUGGGUUAAGUCCCGCAACGAGCGCAACCCUCACUUUUAGUUGCCAUCAUUAAGUUGGGCACUCUGAAAGAACUGCCAGUGAUAAGCUGGAGGAAGGUGGGGAUGACGUCAAGUCCUCAUGGCCCUUACGUGUUGGGCUACACACGUGCUACAAUGGUAUCUACAACAGGAAGCAAGACGGCGACGUUAAGCAAAUCCUUAAAAGAUACCUCAGUUCGGAUAGGAGUCUGCAACUCGACUCCUUGAAGUUGGAGUCGCUAGUAAUCG
rnacentral:rRNA from 1 species